rnacentral:lncRNA from 10 species
UGAAGACCCGCAUUCCUACUUUCUAUCCCAAAUGUUGCGUUUUCUAAGACCACUCUGGCCCGCCAUACCUCCAUCCUGGGCCUAUAAAAAUCCGAGACCCUAGCAAGACAGAAACGGAAGCUGCUGGACGACGAGAUGAAAAUAUCGGCCAAAGAAGACAAGCCACCGGACAUUGAGAGGACAUCGAGGGGAGCCCCCGCUUGUCGCACGCCCUGCCACAGGGAUGAGGGAACCUCUCCAGUUUCAAUAUUAUCCAACCACGUUGAUCACUUAAGAAAAAG